rnacentral:rRNA from 1 species
AUGAACGCUGGCGGCGUGCCUAAUACAUGCAAGUCGAGCGAACAGACGAGGAGCUUGCUCCUCUGAUGUUAGCGGCGGACGGGUGAGUAACGCGUGGAUAACCUACCUAUAAGACUGGGAUAACUUCGGGAAACCGGAGCUAAUACCGGAUAACAUGUUGAACCGCAUGGUUCAACAGUGAAAGACGGUCUUGCUGUCACUUAUAGAUGGAUCCGCGCCGCAUUAGCUAGUUGGUAAGGUAACGGCUUACCAAGGCAACGAUGCGUAGCGGACCUGAGAGGGUGAUCGGCCACACUGGAACUGAGACACGGUCCAGACUCCUACGGGAGGCAGCAGUAGGGAAUCUUCCGCAAUGGGCGAAAGCCUGACGGAGCAACGCCGCGUGAGUGAAGAAGGUCUUCGGAUCGUAAAACUCUGUUAUUAGGGAAGAACAAAUGUGUAAGUAACUAUGCACGUCUUGACGGUACCUAAUCAGAAAGCCACGGCUAACUACGUG